UACAGAGGGUGCGAGCGUUGUCCGGAAUCACUGGGCGUAAAGGGCGCGUAGGUGGCGAGCCAAGUCCAUGGUGAAAGCUCGAUGCUCAACAUCGAGUCGGCCACGGAUACUGGUGCGCUUGAGCACUGUAGAGGCUAAUGGAAUUCCGGGUGUAGCGGUGGAAUGCGUAGAGAUCCGGAAGAACACCGGUGGCGAAGGCGGUUAGCUGGGCAGUUGCUGACACUGAGGCGCGAAAGCGUGGGGAGCAAACAGG
rnacentral:rRNA from 1 species